rnacentral:rRNA from 1 species
CACGUGUGCAACCUGCCUUUAUCUGGGGGAUAGCCUUUCGAAAGGAAGAUUAAUACCCCAUAAUAUACUGGAUGGCAUCAUUCGGUAUUGAAAACUCCGGUGGAUAGAGAUGGGCACGCGCAAGAUUAGAUAGUUGGUGAGGUAACGGCUCACCAAGUCUACGAUCUUUAGGGGGCCUGAGAGGGUGAUCCCCCACACUGGUACUGAGACACGGACCAGACUCCUACGGGAGGCAGCAGUGAGGAAUAUUGGACAAUGGGUGAGAGCCUGAUCCAGCCAUCCCGCGUGAAGGACGACGGCCCUAUGGGUUGUAAACUUCUUUUGUAUAGGGAUAAACCUACCCUCGUGAGGGUAGCUGAAGGUACUAUACGAAUAAGCACCGGCUAACUCCGUGCCAGCAGCCGCGGUAAUACGGAGGGUGCAAGCGUUAUCCGGAUUUAUUGGGUUUAAAGGGUCCGUAGGCGGAUCUGUAAGUCAGUGGUGAAAUCUCACAGCUUAACUGUGAAACUGCCAUUGAUACUGCAGGUCUUGAGUGUUGUUGAAGUAGCUGGAAUAAGUAGUGUAGCGGUGAAAUGCAUAGAUAUUACUUAGAACACCAAUUGCGAAGGCAGGUUACUAAGCAACAACUGACGCUGAUGGACGAAAGCGUGGGGAGCGAACAGGAUUAGAUACCCUGGUAGUCCACGCCGUAAACGAUGCUAACUCGUUUUUGGAAUGUAAGUUUCAGAGACUAAGCGAAAGUGAUAAGUUAGCCACCUGGGGAGUACGAACGCAAGUUUGAAACUCAAAGGAAUUGACGGGGGCCCGCACAAGCGGUGGAUUAUGUGGUUUAAUUCGAUGAUACGCGAGGAACCUUACCAAGGCUUAAAUGGGAAAUGACAGGUUUAGAAAUAGACUUUUCUUCGGACAUUUUUCAAGGUGCUGCAUGGUUGUCGUCAGCUCGUGCCGUGAGGUGUUAGGUUAAGUCCUGCAACGAGCGCAACCCCUGUCACUAGUUGCCAUCAUUAAGUUGGGGACUCUAGUGAGACUGCCUACGCAAGUAGAGAGGAAGGUGGGGAUGACGUCAAAUCAUCACGGCCCUUACGCCUUGGGCCACACACGUAAUACAAUGGCCGGUACAGAGGGCAGCUACACUGCGAAGUGAUGCAAAUCUCGAAAGCCGGUCUCAGUUCGGAUUGGAGUCUGCAACUCGACUCUAUGAAGCUGGAAUCGCUAGUAAUCGCGCAUCAGCCAUGGCGCGGUGAAUACGUUCCCGGGCCUUGUACACA